CAGGAAUGUGCUAAAUUUUUCAAAGUAUGCCCACGAUAUAGAGCACUCCAUGGGCAAACAAAGAUCUACGUAAUAUUCCCCCUCGAAGUGACAACCCAGCAAGUGAUGGCACUUCGGGUGAAUCGGCAAAAGGCGGAAAGCCGACCUCCACGUCCGCCUUCUCCAACAACGCCCCCCGGCCUGCUCGCUGCACCAGGUUCACCGCCUGGUCGAAAGAAGCGUACGAAACCGAAGAAAGGGCCCUGUCUAUGUCGUCAUUAAUUGACGACCCCUUGGGGUAGGACAGAUGGUGAAUCAGGCGGUACUUGCCGGGCUCCUUCUUGGGUACCACCCCAAGUGGUGAUACUCUCAAGUUGGAUAACGGGGGCUCCCUAAACGGCCCCGCCACCCUGCCCAGCUGAACCUCCUUACGCAACUUCUCCCUAACUACCCCCGGAAAUUCAGGUUGCGAAGACUAUGAGCCACCACUCGCUCCCGAAACGGGAUAACGAACCCAUUGGUGAACCCCUCCUCCAGCAACGCUGCAUCUUCCCUGUUAGCGCAGUGGCUUAGCCACGACCGCAUUGUGCCGACCUUCACUGGUGUGGCCCCCAGAGGCAGGGGACCCUGCCGAACCUCCAGGCACCCCUGCUGCGGAGGCUAACUUCCCUUUUUUGAAACACCUGUGAAGUCCGUGGGUGCAUCCACACCCGGAGCACUCAUGCUUGAAUCGACAAGUGGCCCCCCACUUGCACUGUCCCUCAUUAUACAGCCAGCAGUAGCUCCGUUUUUGGUUGGCCGAAACGGCGGUAGACGCGCCCGUGCCGGCCCCUGUCUGAAAGGGGGACGCCUUCUGCGCCAUCAUGAAUUUUAUCCAGAGGGGUAGGUCCAUCUGGUCCCACCGCAUCCCCGGAUUAGCAGCCAGGCGCUGCCAAAACUACUCGUCAUACCGCCACCAGGCCAGACCCCCGUAUGUCCGAUAAGCCUCCCAAAUACCAUCCAGGUAACAGAAGAGCUGUGAACAGCGCUCUACCGCCUUUUCUGCCCAUCACGCUGACCAAGAUGCAAAAUGCCCUCAGCCAGUUCCCAUACAUCUUAGGUAUCUUCCUAUACCUCCACUUCUUUUCCUCCUCCUCCUUUUUGGCAUCCUUUUUAUCCUCCUCCUUGAGGUCAAUGUAGUCCUCAAGGGGGAGAAGCGAAAAGAUUUCCACGAAUUCCCCUUUCCAUAUCCUCUCCUUAACCUCCAUUUUGAGAUGACAGCCCAGUGAGCCUGCGAAAGAAACAUGAACGUUCUGCCGCGCGGCCUCCGGGACGCCCCCCAAUAAGCUCUCCCUCUCACUCGCCAAUCCGGGCGCCUCUACUGUGGGGGUCGCACCUCCAUCCCCAAC